UGGCGGCGUGCUUAACACAUGCAAGUCGAACGGUGAAGCCAAGCUUGCUUGGUGGAUCAGUGGCGAACGGGUGAGUAACACGUGAGCAACCUGCCCUGAACUCUGGGAUAAGCGCUGGAAACGGCGUCUAAUACUGGAUAUGAGCUGCGGAGGCAUCUUCGUGGUUGGAAAGAUUUUUCGGUUUGGGAUGGGCUCGCGGCCUAUCAGCUUGUUGGUGAGGUAAUGGCUCACCAAGGCGUCGACGGGUAGCCGGCCUGAGAGGGUGACCGGCCACACUGGGACUGAGACACGGCCCAGACUCCUACGGGAGGCAGCAGUGGGGAAUAUUGCACAAUGGGCGGAAGCCUGAUGCAGCAACGCCGCGUGAGGGAUGACGGCCUUCGGGUUGUAAACCUCUUUUAGCAGGGAAGAAGCGAAAGUGACGGUACCUGCAGAAAAAGCGCCGGCUAACUACGUGCCAGCAGCCGCGGUAAUACGUAGGGCGCAAGCGUUAUCCGGAAUUAUUGGGCGUAAAGAGCUCGUAGGCGGUUUGUCGCGUCUGCUGUGAAAUCUGGGGGCUCAACCCCCAGCCUGCAGUGGGUACGGGCAGACUAGAGUGCGGUAGGGGAGAUUGGAAUUCCUGGUGUAGCGGUGGAAUGCGCAGAUAUCAGGAGGAACACCGAUGGCGAAGGCAGAUCUCUGGGCCGUAACUGACGCUGAGGAGCGAAAGGGUGGGGAGCAAACAGGCUUAGAUACCCUGGUAGUCCACCCCGUAAACGUUGGGAACUAGUUGUGGGGUCCAUUCCACGGAUUCCGUGACGCAGCUAACGCAUUAAGUUCCCCGCCUGGGGAGUACGGCCGCAAGGCUAAAACUCAAAGGAAUUGACGGGGACCCGCACAAGCGGCGGAGCAUGCGGAUUAAUUCG
rnacentral:rRNA from 1 species